CCAGCUCCAAUAGCGUAUAUUAAAGUUGUUGCAGUUAAAACGCUCGUAGUUGAAUUUUGGUCUGUGAUCGUAUGGGUUGUCGAAAGACAGUUUGUGCGAAGCAGGCAAUUUUAUCUGCCGCAGUGGACCUGUUCGACACUUAACUGGGUUGGAUGGGGAUUUGAAGCUGCGGCCGUUUACUUUGAAAAAAUUAGAGUGUUCAAAGCAGGCUUUAUAGCUGUGAAUAUUUUAGCAUGGAAUAAUGAAAUACGACUUUGGUUGUGUUUUGUUGGUUUUAAUGGCCAAAGUAAUGAUUAAAAGGGACAGUUAGGGGCAUUUGUAUUUAGCUGUCAGAGGUGAAAUUCUUGGAUUUGCUAAAGACAAACUAGUGCGAAAGCAUCUGCCAGGGAUGUUUUCA
rnacentral:rRNA from 1 species